UCCAGAAAAAUUCUUGCAGUAGUGGACAUUAUUGCAGGACGGGAUCUACAUCUGAGACACCCUGCUUCAAGUUGACUUCAUGUGAUGCAAACUCCACGAGUCAAAACACCCAUGCCUAUGGGAUGCUGUUAACAGUGAGUUAUUUCGCGUUAUCUUAAAAUAUACUUUCACACUUCCUCUUUCGGUUCCAUCUGUUAACUUAAUUAAUGAUCCGGGACUUUUUUAUGCUUACUGAACAUAUUAUGAUAUCCUUCAUAAAAUGUUCAGAAUGACAGAGAAAGCCAUGCAGCAACAAAGCAAGGAUCUUACAUUCUCAGGAGUAGUUUUGAUGGCUACUAAUACCGAAAUCAAGAAAAGGCCUCUGAUUGAGAUUUCAUUUAA